rnacentral:rRNA from 1 species
UACGUAGGAGGCGAGCGUUGUCCGGAUUUACUGGGCGUAAAGCGCGCGCAGGCGGCACUUCAAGUCAGGUGUGAAAUCUCCCUGCUCAACGGGGAGGGUGCACUUUAGACUGAGGAGCUAGAGGACGGUAGAGGGGGGUGGAAUUGCUGGUGUAGCGGUGAAAUGCGUAGAGAUCAGCAGGAACACCCGUGGCGAAGGCGGCCCCCUGGGCCGUACCUGACGCUGAGGCGCGAAGGCUAGGGGAGCGAACGGG